rnacentral:rRNA from 1 species
AUUGAACGCUGGCGGCAGGCCUAACACAUGCAAGUCGAACGCGUGGCGGACGGGUGAGUAAUGUCUGUGAAACUGCCCGAUGGAGGGGGAUAACUACUGGAAACGGUAGCUAAUACCGCAUACCAUCGGAUGUGCCCAGAUGGGAUUAGCUAGUAGGUGGGGUAACGGCUCACCUAGGCGACGAUCCCUAGCUGGUCUGCGAGGAUCACCAGCCACACUGGAACUGAGACACGGUCCAGAAUCCUACGGGAGGCAGCAGCGGGGAAUAUUGCACAAUGGGCGCAAGCCUGAUGCAGCCAUGCCGCGUGUAUGAAGAAGGCCUUCGGGUUGUAAAGUACUUUCAGCGAGGAGGCGUUACUCGCAGAAGAAGCACCGGCUAACUCCGUGCCAGCAGCCGCGGUAAUAC